UACGUAGGGUGCAAGCGUUAAUCGGAAUUACUGGGCGUAAAGCGUGCGCAGGCGGUUUUGUAAGACAGAGGUGAAAUCCCCGGGCUCAACCUGGGAACUGCCUUUGUGACUGCAAGGCUUGAGUGCGGCAGAGGGGGAUGGAAUUCCGCGUGUAGCAGUGAAAUGCGUAGAUAUGCGGAGGAACGCCGAUGGCGAAGGCAAUCCCCUGGGCCUGCACUGACGCUCAUGCACGAAAGCGUGGGGAGCAAACAGG
rnacentral:rRNA from 1 species